rnacentral:rRNA from 1 species
CGGUAGCACAGAGAGCUUGCUCUCGGGUGACGAGUGGCGGACGGCUGAGUAAUGUCUGGGAAACUGCCUGAUGGAGGGGGAUAACUACUGGAAACGGUAGCUAAUACCGCAUAACGUCGCAAGACCAAAGAGGGGGACCUUCGGGCCUCUUGCCAUCAGAUGUGCCCAGAUGGGAUUAGCUAGUAGGCGGGGUAACGGCCCACCUAGGCGACGAUCCCUAGCUGGUCUGAGAGGAUGACCAGCCACACUGGAACUGAGACACGGUCCAGACUCCUACGGGAGGCAGCAGUGGGGAAUAUUGCACAAUGGGCGCAAGCCUGAUGCAGCCAUGCCGCGUGUGUGAAGAAGGCCUUCGGGUUGUAAAGCACUUUCAGCGGGGAGGAAGGCGGUACGGUUAAUAACCGUGCUGAUUGACGUUACCCGCAGAAGAAGCACCGGCUAACUCCGUGCCAGCAGCCGCGGUAAUACGGAGGGUGCAAGCGUUAAUCGGAAUUACUGGGCGUAAAGCGCACGCAGGCGGUCUGUCAAGUCGGAUGUGAAAUCCCCGGGCUCAACCUGGGAACUGCAUUCGAAACUGGCAGGCUGGAGUCUCGUAGAGGGAGGUAGAAUUCCAGGUGUAG